UUGACGGGACCGCACAAGCGGUGGAUGAUGUGGUUUAAUUCGAUGCAACGCGAAAACCUUACCACCUUUGACAUGUACGGAAUCCUUUAGAGAUAGAGGAGUGCUCGAAAGAGAGCCGUAACACAGGUGCUGCAUGGCUGUCGUCAGCUCGUGUCGUGAGAUGUUGGGUUAAGUCCCGCAACGAGCGCAACCCUUGUCGUUAGUUGCUACAUUCAGUUGGGGCACUCUAAUGAGACUGCCGGUGACAAACCGGAGGAAGGUGGGGAUGACGUCAAGUCCUCAUGGCCCUUAUAGGUGGGGCUACACACGUCAUACAAUGGAUGGUACAAAGGGUCGCCAACCCGCGAGGGGGAGCCAAUCCCAUAAAGCCAUUCGUAGUCCGGAUCGCAGUCUGCAACUCGACUGCGUGAAGUCGGAAUCGCUAGUAAUCGUGGAUCAGAAUGUCACGGUGAAUACGUUCCCGGGUCUU
rnacentral:rRNA from 1 species